CCGCCCGGAGGAGGCCGCCCCGCACCAGCCCGCCCGCCCGCGGGCCGCGCUGCACGACGGGCGGACGCCCCGGAGCCCGGACGGCGGCCACACUCACCUGCACCAAGCAGUGGCCCUGCGCGUCCUGCUGGGCGUCGGGCAGGACGAGGGCCCGCGGCCACAGCAACGGAUGCAAGAAAUGGACCAUGACGCCGACGCCGCCCACGCGAGCCCGGCCGCCGACGUCGCGCCCCGGCGCCCCGGAGGAGAGCGCAGGAAGGUCGCCCGGCACGGGAGGAGAGCUCAGGAAGGUCGGCCGGCGUUUGAAUGGCCGCCCCACGCCGCGCACAGCCUGGAAUUUGCAUUAUAGCUGAAGAUGACCUUGAACUGAUUCUUCCACUUCCACCUCCCAAGGUGCAAGAUGAGUACAUUGUUGCAGUCUACAGACACACCAGAAAAGGAUGUCAGAGACCCCAUUACAGAUGGUUGUGAGCCACCAUGUGGUUGCUGGAAUUGAACUCAGGACCUCUGGACCUUAACCUCUGAGCCAUCUCCCCAGCCCCGUAAGUUCUUUCUUAUACCUUUACAUAGGUAUCAGAGAUUGACAUUAGGAUUUCAAACUUAUAUGGCACAAGCACCUUUACCCCACUGAGCCACCUUGCCAGACCCUGGAAAUGUUCGUUGAGAGAGUAUCAUGGAGCCCAGGACAGCCUAUAAAUUACUAUAUUGCUGAGAAUGGCCUUGAACUCCAGAUACUGGGAUUUGUGGCUUCAAUGCUAAAAGGAUUAAUUUCACGACUAGCUGGUAAAUGAUGAAGCCAACUUUGGGGAUUCUAUUAAAGCUUACUAUAGGCUUAAGCAUGAGAGUUAAAAGGAGGACUCUCAGAAAGGAAGACUUAUCCAGGUAUGGCUACAACCAAUUGUCAUAGCAUUAGCCAUAUACACUGUUUUGACAGCUCUCAAGUUCCAUCUCAAAGGACGGCUAAGAAACACUCCCACCCCUUUUGAUAACUGAGGUGGUUUGGACCCUGCAUUGGCUGGAGGAGGUAAAACCAUGACAACCAACAACUGUCCCUUCUGUUUCUGGUGAGAUUCUGAGAGAGCUGCAGGUUUAGAACUGGGCAGAGGGAAAGGCCAUAAGCAGUUGGUAAUUAACUGCGCUGGAUUCCUGCUCCUCUGCUGAGAGGCCUCAGAGAUGAGGGUUCCUUCAUCCCAUGUGCCUGUCGCCUAUCCUGCCUCAGGACGGCUUGAUCUUAUUUGGUUUGGUUUGGUUUUUAAAUAAAAUCUCACUGUGUAACCCUGGCUAGCCUGAAUACAUAGACCAGGCAGUCCUGGAAUUCAUAGAGAUAUACCUGCCUCUGCCUCCCCAGGGCUGGGCUAAAGGCGGAAACCACCAUGACAGCCAGGCUUUUUUUUUUUCCCCCCACAGGUUGGAAUCUACAUAGAGACUGAGUUCAGAAAUCACUUUAGAAUAUUAAAUGAUAAGAUUUAGAUUGUAUAUCUCUAAAACAAUAAGAGGCUCACUCAAGGAAAACUUCUCUGGUCAACAGAUUAGAAUUUCUAGCUUGGGUGGAGACUUAACAUUGCAGCUGGUCAGGUCAAAUGACCUGGGGAAGGGGCCAUCCCUGGGAAUGCAGGGUUACCUUAAUCCAUGCUAAAGAACAAGGAGAGAUGGCUCAGCUGCAAAGAGCACUUAUUGCUCUUCCAGAGGACCUGACUUGAUUCCUAGCACCCAUAUGGUGACUCAAAAUUGUCCCUAACUCUAGCUCCAGGGAAUCUAUCUGACAGCCCUCUUCUGGAUUCUCUUGUGCACUGAGUUAAGCUUGUUUUUAUAUUAUUCAAAUGUUGAUUUCCAUAACACUAGAGAGCUAAAUAUUGGACUUUGGUAUUUUUAUUCUAGUUGUUCAACGUUUUGUAAACAUUCUUCCCCACCACCUUAUGAUUAAUUUAACAAACAGCUGAUUACAACAUGAAAGGAGAGGGAAGGCAGGACAACCCAUAGGAACUGUGGGGAGGGGGGAAUCCACCGGGAAUCUGACUGGCAGACAUGGUGGUGGAACAGGUGCCUGGAGAGGAGCAAUAACGGCUGUGUGCAGGGAUCCACCCCAUAAUCAGCAUCCAAACGCUGACACCAUUGCAUACACUAGCAAGAUUUUAUUGAAAGGACCCAGAUGUAGCUGUCUCUUGUGAGACUAUGCCAGGGCCUAGCAAACACAGAAGUGGAUGCUCACAGUCAGCUAAUGGAUGGAUCACAGGGCUCCCAAUGGAGGAGCUAGAGAAAGUAGCCAAGGAGCUAAAGGGAUCUGCAACCCUAUAGGUGGAACAACAUUAUGAACUAACCAGUACCCCGGAGCUCUUGACUCUAGCUGCAUAUGUAUCAAAAGAUGGCCUAGUCGGCCAUCACUGGAAAGAGAGGCCCAUUGGACUUGCAAACUUUAUAUGCCCCAGUACAGGGGAACGCCAGGGCCAAAAAGGGGGAGUGGGUGGGUAGGGGAGUGGGGGUGGGUGGGUAUGGGGGACUUUUGGUAUAGCAUUGGAAAUGUAAAUGAGCUAAAUACCUAAUAAAAAAUGGAAAAAAAAAUAACGGCUGUGUGGCAGAGCUUAAUUAGAAUAAAUGGGUUAAUUAAAUUCUACAAGCUAGCUGGGAAUAAGCUUAAGCUACAGGCCUAAGCAUUCAUAAAUAAAUAACAAUCUCUGAAUCAUUAUCGACAGCCUUUGGGGAUGGACCUCCAUGAACAAUAGGCACAUAUGUAGUGUGCAUACAUACAUGAAAGCAAAAUGCUCGUACACAUAAAAUAAAAUAUACAUUCAAAUAACAGGUGGAAUAAUUGUGCCUUUAGCGGGGCAGUGGUGGUCCACGCCUUUAAUUCCAGCACUCUGGAGGCAGAGGCAGGUGGAUUUCUGAGUUCAAGGCCAGCCUGGUCUACAGAGUGAGUUCCAGGACAGCCAGGGCUACACAGAGAAACCCUGUCUCAAAAAAACCAAAAAAAAAAAAAAAAAAAAAAAAAUG